rfam:Picea glauca, whole genome shotgun sequence.
ACAUGACUGCAACAUAGUGCUAAUGCACCAGAUCCUAUUAGAAAUCCAUAUUUAAGCGCACUCAGGCUAGAGUAGUACUGGGAUGGGUGACCACUUGGGAAGUCCUAGUGUUUUACAUGCC